rnacentral:rRNA from 1 species
UACAGAGGGGGCAAGCGUUAUUCGGAAUUAUUGGGCGCAAAGGGCGCGUAGGCGGCCUGGCAAGUGGAAGGUGAAAUCCCUCGGCUUAACCGAGGAACUGCCCUCCAAACUGCUUGGCUUGAGUCCGGGAGAGGUGAGUGGAAUUCCCAGUGUAGCGGUGAAAUGCGUAGAUAUUGGGAGGAACACCAGUGGCGAAGGCGGCUCACUGGACCGGAACUGACGCUGAGGCGCGAAAGCGUGGGGAGCAAACGGG